UGAACGCUGGCGGCGUGCUUAACACAUGCAAGUCGUACGAGAACACUUCUGCUUGCAGAAGUUAGUAAAGUGGCGCACGGGUGAGUAACACGUAGAUAAUCUACCUUCAAGCCUGGGAUAACUAUUCGAAAGGAUGGCUAAUACCGGAUAAAGUUUAUUAACAUAAGUUAAUUUAUGAAAGAUUGCCUCUUCUUGAAAGCAAUUGAUUGGAGAUGAGUUUGCGGACCAUUAGUUUGUUGGUGGGGUAAAGGCCUACCAAGACUACGAUGGUUAGCUGGUCUGAGAGGAUGAUCAGCCACACUGGAACUGGUACACGGUCCAGACUCCUACGGGAGGCAGCAGUGAGGGAUUUUGCGCAAUGGGGGAAACCCUGACGCAGCAACGCCGCGUGAGUGAAGAAGGCCUUUGGGUCGUAAAGCUCUGUCGACAGGGAAGAAAUUAACAACAUCCAAUAGGUGUUGUUAUUGACGGUACCUGUAGAGGAAGCACCGGCUAACUCC
rnacentral:rRNA from 1 species